UAGAUAUCUGUUAGGGCCACUAUGGCUGGUACGACCGUAAUCAUAGAUCGUACCAUGGUUUGGCCAGCCAGAAAUGGGCCUGAGAAAAAUGUCGUAUUUAUAUCUGAUCUGAUCAUUCCACUUGGGUGUUUGAAAUCUAUAUCUCCCCUCAAAGAUAGAAGUUGUAACGACUUCGCAAAGCAUGACACAAAAAUCUAAGCAUUUCAUGAUUUAUUU
rnacentral:lncRNA from 1 species